GUGUGCCCCUGGUUUUGCCCUCGGCUUUCUUCCGGUAGCCUUCGGCGCUUCAUUGCGUUGCUGUUGGUGUUCCGGAACUUUUACUUUGAGAAAAAUAGAGUGUUUCAAGCAGGCUUGUCGCCCUGAAUACUUCAGCAUGGAAUAAUAAGAUAGGACCUCGGUUCUAUUUUGUUGGUUUCUAGGACCAAGGUAAUGAUUAAUAGGGGACAGUUGGGGGCAUUCGUAUUUAACUGUCAGAGGUGAAAUUCUUAGAUUUGUUAAAGACGAACUACUGCGAAAGCAUGUUGCCAAGGAUGUUUUCAUUAAUCAAGAACGACAGUAGGGGGUUUGAAGACGAUUAGAUACCGUCGUAAUCUCUACCAUAAACUAUGCCGACUAGAGAUAGGGAAAUGCCUACCUUGGCUUCUCCUGCACCUCAUGAGAAAUCAAUGU
rnacentral:rRNA from 1 species